rnacentral:sRNA from 1 species
AAUUAAAUUUAACUCAAAAACGAAAUACAUUAUUAAUUUCCAAAAAAGUAACCAAUUAAAAUCAACAAAUUAGAUUUGAUAUCUAAAUUAUCAUAUUAAUUUUUAAAAUGUAACCUUAUUUUUUGUAAGUAAUUACAUAGGUAUGCCAUUAGAAAUAAAAUUUUAAAGAGUAAAUUAAUUCAUUUCUUUAAAAAUUAAAAAGUCAAAUACUAAUUUAAUU